rnacentral:lncRNA from 1 species
AGGGAGAGAGAAUAUCAGGAGGUAAAGAUGUUGCAAACAUUGUAUGAAUGAGAACCAGGCCUGUUGGUUGGCAUUCCAGACUAGUUGGAAGAAUUAGGACACACAAGAGUGGGAACAGCUCAGAGUGAAACAGACUAGAGCAGCUCUCCAAAAUCCCAGAAGGCCAGAGAAAAUGCCAGACAGCAGACUGAUGAGAAAUAAGCCAGGAAAAGUGCAUGCUAGCCCUCAAAGAGACAGAUGGUAACAGGAAGUGCUCAGAGAGGGGUGACUGUGAUAAAAAUCACACACUAGGAAAUCACCUAUCUGUAGUUUGCGGCUUUGCGGAGAAAUGAAACCCCUUUGCUAGUGCGGCAAGGAAGGACGGUAACACGGUAACAGAAUGUUAAGUACCAGUGUAUUUGUGACUGAAGCAAGAAAUGUGGCCUGGGUCAUUCCAUCAGCAUGGAAGUUCUGCUUAGAUUGUGACUCAGACUGUAUCGUGUGACGGAUAUGAAAGCCAUUGGAAUCGCAUUAAAUGCUUCUUGAUCAUCUUCAUGCAAUAAAGUGUCCUCCUUGGCUGCUAAGGUAGAAGUAAUAGGCUUCCGACUGUAGAAGUAAAUGCUUUACACAUUCAUGGUUGUUUUCUAUGCCUAUCCCUGUUCAUCUUCAGAAAGGAAUGUUAGAAUAGGGUGUAGGAAAUGCUAGUCAUGGUUGCUUGUGCCCUUCAUCAUGAGACAAAUCUUUUCUCUAUUUUUUGAGUGAAAAUAUACCAAGGUAUGAGUUUGGAAAAGUGAAAAUAUUUUACAUUUUUCUUCCUUUAAAAACUGUAUCAGGUCUGCUAAUGUGGCAAUGUGGCUCAGUCAUUCCUAUGCAGAUAAUAUUUUGAUUUCUACCACGGGUGAAUUCUUUUACGCCUCCCCAGCACACAAUUGCUUUUGAGGCAGGUCCUUGCUAUGUAACUCAGACUGGAUUUGAGGUCAAUAUGUAGCUUGCCUCAUAAUUCCUGGCUAGGUUGCCCAAGCACUGAGGUUGCGGGCCUCAGCACACCUGACAUAUUUUUCAUAUAUUUUUUGCAAACCACCAAAAGGGGUUUCUCUGGAUUUUGGAAUGCCGUGGUCUUCUGUUGCCCUGUGCCAUCUACCAGGUACUUUGCUGCACUGUAAUUCUAUCAGCCUUGGUGCCCACUCCCACAACAGGCCUUCCUCCACCACCCAGCAGCAAGAACAGAGCCUUUACUUGCUGUAGCUCAGAAUGCUGCUUAAAUGCCAGCCAUCUGGCACUUCUCUGGGCUCCACACUUUCUGCAAUUCCCACGCAUUUGCAGGUUCCCCUGCAGCUGUUUCUGUUAACUUGUCUGUCCUCAGUGUGUUUUAUGGAUUCAAUAAGGCACUUUGAGGGUCUGGGAAGAAGGUUGCCUUGCCUGGCUUCCCAGGCUAGGAUCUGAACUUCAUGUACUUAUCUUUUGAUCUGCCUUCUCUUCCCACUUAAUAUUCUGUCUGAAGUGGGGCUCACUCUGUAGCUGGCGGAGCUGGUCCUCAUAGCUCCUGCUUCCUUGGACCGUAGUCCCGCACCUUAAAUGUCUGCACUUCUGGGUAGCAUCUACUUAUAUACUAUUUCCCUCCAUUUAUUAUUUCCAUGUUCUUGUUUCUAACCUAGUUCACUGUUUUUUUUUGUUUGUUUGUUUGUUUGUUUUUCUCUUUUCUUUUGUAGCCUUGUAAGAGGUUUAUCUCGCUCUGCACCUCACAAGCCAUUCUCCACAGAAUUCUUAAAAAGUGGGGCGAGUUAGCUUGGGAAAUUGUACUAAAUACCCUACUUGAGGAUUCCAAGAACACAUUAGCAUAAGAAAAGAUCUGAGAAGGGUUUAAGUGAAAGGGGAAAGAACGUUUGAAGUCGAUUUAGUGAUUCCAAGAACGUCACAAGUAAGACGUUACUUGUGUAGAGGAAGACUCUGGGCGACUUUGAUGUUCUUCUUUAAUAGCAAAGGGAGACUUGCCUCUCCACUUCUUUGUUAUUUGAUAUGAGGAGUAUUGAAGUUUAUUUAUUCAGGUCACUGUUUUUUUGUCCUGAUUGUUUACCACAUAUAUUUUAGCCAUGACUCACCCUUAAAGAGGAACUUUUCCAUCUCUUUUAUAUUACAAAAGUGGUUUGGUUCAUUUAUUUUUAUAUUCAAACUGAAAAAGCAACUGAGGCUAUGACAUUAUCUUUGAAUAUUGUUCUCUUAAAAUGUCAUUACUACUGUUUUCUAGAGUAUUUUAAUGUUUUCUUUGACUUUAUUUUGAGACAAGAUCUCACGAUGUAGCCCUAGCUAGACUGGAACUUGCUAUAUAGAUCACAUUGGUCUCAAACUUCUAGAAAUCUGUCUACUUCUGUCUCUCGAGUGCUGGGAUGAAAGGCAAGCAACUCAUUUUUGUGUAUGUAUCUGGAGGAGCUGAUGAGAUGGCUCAGUGAGUAAAGGUAUUUACUUCCAAGACUGAUAACUUGAGUUUGAAAGAAAGGUAAAAUUUCAAGACCUGUAAGUCAUAUAAAGUACUCAGAAAUUGCUGGUUAUUUGUGAGCCUAGAGGCUGCCUGGGGCUGAGAAAAAAAGAAAAACAAACCCGGGCAUGCCCCGUAGUUAAAACAUUCCUGGGAACAGCUUGACCAUGAAGAUAAAGAGGAAUGUGAAGACGUAUCAGGGCUAUCUGAACUGAGUCAAUAACUUACAGAACUCUGACACCCUGCACGUACAUGUAAUUUUUCUGCUGAUGUUUGAAUAAGCCAAUAGUUUGUUGCUUUGCUGAAUUCUCCACUAAGCCCUUUACCCCAUAAAACCCCCUAGUUUUCUAGCCUCGGGGUCGAAUCCACUGUCUCCUGUGUAAGAUACGUUUCGACCUGGAGCUCCGCCAUUAAACUACCUCAUGUGUUUACAACAAGAAAGGAUUCUCCUGUUUCUUUGGGUGCUCUCUCUCUCCCGAGACUAGAGUGGGGGUCCCAAAGGGGGUAUUACAAGUUCAAUCCUUGAAACCUACAUAGUAGAUGGCAAAACCUGACUCCUGUCCUCUGGCUUCCACAUGUCCGGGGUCUCUUGUAGGCCCAUUUCCCAAGUAAACAAAGUAUAAAUACACUUAUAAUAUUAAAAUGUCUACGUAAUCUUUCUUUCAUAUUGAUUCUUUCUUUUCUUUUUUCUUCUUUUGAGACAGGGUCUUACUUUGUAGCCCUGACUGGCCUGGAACUCACCAUGUAGACACAGCUGGCCAGAAUCUCAUAGAAAUCUCCUGGCCUCUUCCUCCAGAGUAGGCCUCUUCAUGAGAACCUCGAAGCUGGCAGCAGUAAACUUUUACAGAAAAGCGUCUGCAUAUUCGGAGUUCAGGACUCUUAAAUGCUCAGCCAAAAGUCAGUAUGUAGACCAGAUCUUCCUCCCUCUGCCUCCCAAGUGCUGGGAUUAGCGGUAGGCCCUCAUGCCUGGCCUGAGCAUCUCUGGCGCUAUCCCAGCACUUUGUUUGGACACUGGCUAUUGCCAGAUUUCUGUGCUCUGCAUGUAGUGCGGAUUGAUUGACAGAUUGACAGGUGAACUGCACAAAGGCUCAGAGGGGUGUCCUCCUUGGAGAAUGGUAGUGCAGCAUUUUCCUGCAUCUCCCAGUUUCAGUACUGUUGUCAAUCCAUGUAUUACAAAAUAUGCCCACAUAAAGCUUAGUGAAAAAAAUUCUAUUUUCUUUCAAACACAGUUUUAAAACUAUGAAGCUUAAACAGACAACACAAAAUGUAAAAACAGUAGCCAGUCAACAUGAAGAGUCAUUGGAUGCUUAGUUUAUCCCAGGUCUGUGAUUCAGGGUUUGCUUUUACAUAACUAGUAGACAGGUAAGAAACACCUGGCCUUAGUGAAGUCAUUACCUUACUUGGCCAGUCAUGGCUGGCUUAGGGGCUUGCCGAUAGGUUUCAUGUACCUAGAAAAAAAUAUUUUUUUAUUAUUAUUUGAAAACUGAAUGUAAAC